AUAUCAUCUGAAAAACUCCUCAUGACGCCAUAGCACCCAUUGAAAUAGAGUGUUUGGAAAAAAACCGAAAUCUUUUGGUCCAGUGUAGAGGGCGUAGUCAGAAGAAAACGGCAACCAAUAGAAGUAAUACUCAUCAUCACUUCUAUUGGUUUCUGACACGUCCAUCAACCGCCAGCACUCACCCCUCCUCCCUGCGCGUUCACCGACUCGUGAACUUGACCGACCCCGCCCCCAUCAUUCAUGCACACGCGACAAGGCUCAUCAUCACUCGGCUAGUAGCAAGGUAACGAGAGUUAGCAGCAGGCUGAGCUACUUGGAAACUUUGGUGGCUUUUGCAGAGCUACAGGAAGAACUUUGGCUUUUGGAACACUAGACUACCGGUAACCAUGUCAGGAUAACAUACUCCCUUGGAUUAUCAUCGGACUCGCAAGACCAGACUCCAACACGGGCUGAAAAUUUGAAAUGGGACCUGACACUCUUGGACACAGAUGUCGGCUACGGCAGCGGCUUCAAAUACGCUUUGGUGACCAUAUUUCUAAUCGAGAGGUGAGAUAAUAUAUUUGUCUGUAUAAUAUUUUGUGAAUUGGUUUAGGACACAGUGGUGUCUUUUUUUAAGCAAGUAUCCAUUGAGAGGGGUCAGAGGAUUAGCUCAAGCUCCAACAUAUCUAGCUGCUACCUUGCUUAACAUAGCUGCUACCUCAAUCGCUUUAUUUUUUUGUGUCCCCCCCCCCCUGUGGCAUUUAUUCUGUGCACAUGAACACGUUUUCAGAAUUGCUAUGUGUAACUCAGACGGUUACUCUUGUGUGUUUUGCUGCUAGUUGUGCGAACGAGCCAGACAAACCAGCUGGGAGGAGGACGGAAGCACCCCUUCUCCAUCCGCGUUCAGUUGCUAAAUACGGAUCCACCCCGUAGUGUGGUGUUUUCCAUAGCUGCUCCUUGCUCCUGUUUCACAACAUAUCAAGGCUGCCAAGUAAAUGAAGAAUGAAUCACCGCACACUGGUCAACAGCCGACAGGGUCCUUCCACAACCACAUACUUAUGCCAGUAAAAGCCACAGCUUUUCUCCUCCAAUCCAAGAAGCCUGGACUGCAGUCACCAUCUCAACACACCAACCAAGAGAAAGGCGGAUGGCUCAAUUCAAUAUGGAAAAUUGCACAAUAAAAGUUCAGGACAUGAAGGCUGCAUACUGUGAACGUCAACCUUCAGGGCACCGUCCUGCGCAGAAGACUUUCUACCCUAAGAGGGAUGGCUGACCGCAGACACUCACAACCAGCACAGACGCCUCCAACCUCAAACCAGGCCCUUCACAGUUGCUGCACUUACCCACCUUCCCAGAGUUUUUGUGUGGUAAUGACAACUGUAAAUAUAGUAUAAAGUAAUGUAUCUAGUGUCAUUGUCCAUACAUUUCAAUGACAGUAAAUAUUGGUGGACACAAUUUGACUGUGUGGCUUUUUUUUAAAUUCAUUCUCUGACUGAAAAUGCAUGGUUACAUAAUUUAUAUAUUCCACAAGACCACAAUCAGAAGAACAUUUGACAGGUUGCAUUUAUUUUCUAUGUAUGAAAAAAACAAUGGUAACAAGACAAACGUGGUUCCAAACCAAAAAGGUGAGAUGUACAGAUGAAUGCUCCUACAGAUAAUGAAAAAUAAUAAAAGUCUGCACACUGCCGGUUUGUGUGUUUUAUACCGUACUCUGUAUAAACCUUUUAUAUUGCUCUAGUGGAGCAGGGUAACCCUGGCUAAUCCUGGGUAUUGUACUGUGUAUUACAAGGUCAGCCCUGUUCAAGUGCCCCAUACUGUCUGCAGGCUGCAUGCCUGAAGAGACCGUUUCUCUCACCUGGUCCUACAUCAGCCCAAAGUCUUAUCAAAACUGAGAACACCACAGCAUUUCCUUUCAAUGUUCAUGGGCAUCUCCUUACAGAUUGCGCAGAGGCGCCAGGUUGGUUGUGCUACUGGGCUGUGACUGAGGACCAGAUGUCAUGUGCCAGGUCGAACAUCAAACUGGGGUCACGGGUCAGGGCACGCUGCAGUAACCGAUGGGAUUGCUUCAAAUUCAAUGAUUGAAUCA